GACGAACCGUCCUAACGUUGUUCGGAAUCACUGGGCUUAAAGGGCGCGUAGGCAGGCUCUCAAGUCCGGGGUGAAAUCUUUCGGCUCAACCGGAGAAUAGCCUUGGAUACUGAGAGUCUCGAGCGAGGUAGGGGCGGGUGGAACUUCCGGUGGAGCGGUGAAAUGCGUUGAUAUCGGAAGGAACGCCGGUGGCGAAAGCGACCCGCUGGACCUCUUCUGACGCUGAGGCGCGAAAGCCAGGGGAGCAAACGGG
rnacentral:misc_RNA from 1 species